CACAAAGUAAGGCUUAACAUUCAAUGUAGCAGUGUGGGCUUGGAUAAAUGUACUGCUUAUGGUCUAACAGAGGUGGUCUUUGCUGGACUCCUGGUGGUCUGAUGUGAAGUGAUUAACUGCCAGCCGGCUUUUCAAGAUGGGGAAUGAAAAUGGCACUCCUAAGUUGUCGGAGGGCGAACCGGACAAUGUUGUUCUAUUCCCUCAAGAAGAAACACACUCAACACAGUCUGA